AAUUCCAAACACUUCUAGUCCUAGAGACAAGUUUGGGAAGGCAAAAGUGGAAUGAAGCAUGAACAAAGGGAGAAAACAAGAAGAAAACAAAGGAGAAGCACACAAUGGAGUGUGCAUGCGCACAACCACCUGUGCGCACGCACGAGAGCCACACAGCCAUGUGUGCAUACGCACAACCUCCUGU